GAUGAACGCUGGCGGCGUGCCUAAUACGUGCAAGUCGAGCGAACAGAUGAGAAGCUUGCUCCUCUGACGUUAGCGGCGGACGGGUGAGUAACACGUGGAUAACCUACCUAUAAGACUGGGAUAACUUCGGGAAACCGGAGCUAAUACCGGAUAAUAUAUUGAACCGCAUGGUUCAAUAGUGAAAGACGGUUUUGCUGUCACUUAUAGAUGGAUCCGCGCCGCAUUAGCUAGUUGGUAAGGUAACGGCUUACCAAGGCAACGAUGCGUAGCCGACCUGAGAGGGUGAUCUGCCACACUGGCACUGCGACACGGUCCAUACUCCUACGGGAGGCAGGAGGAGGGAAUCUUCCGCAAAGGGCGAAAGCCUGACGGAGCAACGCCGCGUGAGUGAUGAAGGUCUUCGGAUCGUAAAACUCUGUUAUUAGGGAAGAACAAAUGUGUAAGUAACUAUGCACGUCUUGACGGUACCUAAUCAGAAAGCCACGGCUAACUACGUG
rnacentral:rRNA from 1 species